rnacentral:rRNA from 1 species
CCUACGGGUGGCAGCAGUGAGGAAUAUUGGUCAAUGGGCGGGAGCCUGAACCAGCCAAGCCGCGUGAAGGAUGAAGGCGCCAAGGGUCGUAAACUUCUUUUGUCGGGGGACAAAGGGCGCCACGUGUGGCGUUGUGCAUGUACCCGAUGAAUAAGCAUCGGCUAACUCCGUGCCAGCAGCCGCGGUAAUACGGAGGAUGCGAGCGUUAUCCGGAUUUAUUGGGUUUAAAGGGUGCGUAGGCGGCCCGGAAAGUCAGCGGUAAAAGUCCGUGGCGCAACCCUGGCAAGCCGUUGCAACUGGGGGACUAGAGAGGGCGAGAAGUAGGCGGAAUGCGUGGUGUAGCGGUGAAAUGCAUAGAUAUCGCGCAGAACCCCGAUUGCGAAGGCAGCGUACCGGCGCCUGACUGACGCUGAGGCACGAAAGCGUGGGGAUCGAACAGGAUUAGAUACCCGAGUAGUC